CUUUUCCAAAUACUCUUCCAAAAGUUUGAGAUACUGGUAAACACUCUUCCCUAUAUUUUCCAAAAUGGGCUGAGGCGCUCAGCUUCUACUGGUGGGUUUAUGUUGCAAAAAUCAGAACUUGAGUCCUACCCUCAACAGAUGAAGGGCGCGUGCGUUCGUGUGAAUUCACAUUGAAAGCUAUCGAUUGUUGUUGGCAAUGCUUCACCCAAAUCCGCAGAUUGACUAGGUGAAUGAAAAAGUCAUCAAGAGGGAUUCAAGAAGGGUAUCUUUCACAUUUUGUAAGAAUUAUAUACAUUUUUGACUGUUGGAAUCUGUGGAGAUGUCGGUCACUGCAACCAUUCACUUCAGAGAUCAGAACGAGAGAGAAAUAAGGGCUUGAAGAUGGAAGAUGGCCUUUUCCAUAUGAUAGAGAUGCACAGAUUGAAAGUAUUGUAAUAUAACAUUGUAGAUCGAUAAACUCUUACCUGUCAAUGAAGGAAUCAUGAGUGUUAAUGAUUCUAAUGCUACUCGAGUUGCCAUUUUCAGAGACAGGGAAAAAAAUCGAAGUGAUCCAGAUUAUGACCAUAGCUAUGGAAGGGUUUUUCCAAAGGAGAUGGGCAGAUUGAAAGCAAUGUAAUAGAACAUUGCAGAUCAAUGAACUGUGAUAAGGAGGGAUCUCGAACAUGGCACUAUGGACUCCAUCAGAUAUGCCUGAAGAUCAAUAUAUUUCAAGACUGAGCGAUCAUCAAUGGGAUGGAAGGAUAUCAUAGUUAAGCAAGAUCAGACUAAAGAGAACCGGUCAGGUAUUCUGGAUGUUCAAUAUCCAGGUUCUUAUGAAAAUCAUGAAAGAGUAUGCCUGAUGCUUGCAAUGUAGAUCACACUGCAGUUCAACAUGGUAUGGGAAUUUCACUGUGGUAGAGAGGGGAUGGCGGGAUCUCAUUGUCCACAGGAAUAACAUUUCAACUAUGGUUGCAUGCAGGUGAGGAUGGCCAUCGCUACAUAUACCUACUAUAUUAGAGGCUUCCAUAUGUAUAUACAAGUUUGAACUUUUUUCAGGUGAUGUGGAGAUUGGCCAAAGAGGAGGAAACGAUACAUGCUUUAGGUUAACAUAUGUGAUUAGAUAUAGAAGACUCUACCGCUGAAUCUACAUAUUGCGACUAAGUUGAAUUGCUACCAAUCCAAUGUCUAUGCAGAGGAGUUCCGGCCUACCAGAAAGCAACUCACCAUUUAUAAGUGUUUUUGUUUGAUUUUAGCCCUUAAAGGUAAAAUAUAGUGUGACAAAAUAAAGCAAGCCUUGGCAGCAAAGAACCUUACCUUACUCUGACCAACCCAAACCCAUUAAAUGUGUAUCCACUUCAUCAUUAUCUUGCUCAUUGACAACUAUCUGCACACAUUAAUGGUGCUACUGUCAUGUGUGAAUCUAGCACGUUGUAGGACUGCACUUACAUGCGUGAAAGUGGCAGAUGACACUCUUGCUUAGGAUUUUGUCAACCCUCCAAUACAUGAUAUGCAUGGUUUAUAUGAAUGUAUGAUUAAAUU